rnacentral:sRNA from 1 species
GAAUCCUGUUGCCGCACGUCGUUCUUGCUGGCGGGACAUUGGGCGCGCGACAGAAAACACAUUAAUUGGGAUCAUAACAAGUUUAUCCUGCAUUUUAUGGCUAAUCUCCACUACUAAGUGAGUACAUACCAGAUGGGUGAACAGCCUAAUUAUCAUCAGAGACUUCAAUCAGCAACUGUUGAAAACAGAUACACAGAAGGUAACCAGAUAAAGACAAGUAAAUUUUCCAUAGUUCCAUAUGAAUUGGAGGAUCUGAAGGAAAAAAAAAAACUAAACGCCAAAUGAAAACUCCAGUACCAUGUUUCAGUUACAUUUAAUUGAGUUGUUUGCUAAAUGGACCCCAAAGAAAUUCCUACCAGUCCAGAAUAUUUCUAAAUAGUCUCUCCAAGAACUGAUGGUGAGACACUCUUUCCAGGGUAAUCAUGUACAAUUUCAUUAAACAUGAACAAAUUAAGCUGAUGACUAUCUAGAUUUUUACCACUACUGAGUAACGUUCAUAGCACUGGAAAGUAUUCCAUGUUCUACUAGAGGAGAAGGAGAAACUCCCACAAUGCUGCAAAUUCUUUGAUCUAGAAGAAGUGGCCUGCUUUCAAGACAUUCUGGUAUAAUUAAUGUACAGACAUUGUAAGGGUAACCAACAACUAUUUGAUUGGAUAUAAGGCACACUAAAUGAGAUGAAACCCAUGAUUAACAUCACACUGGUAGGCAAGAACCUGAGACUACUAUUGCCAUAGGACAUUGGGUAAAACCAUAUACUACUGUUCUGUCAUAGGAUAAUAUAAACAAAAUAUUUCUUAAUGACAUUCUGCUAUAAUAAUAGUGUCUUGCUCAAUCAUCAUUAAAGAAUGUUCCUUAAGGAAAUGGAUGAAAAAAAAAGGGAGAGAACAAUAGUUGAAAAAAGUACAAAGAGUGGAAACCCUAGAACACACAGUUCUCAAAAAAAUAUCCAUCAAAUUCCUAUUAUCGUUUCUCAAGAGAUGGUGCCAGAGAAAGCUGAAAUUGUAUGAGAUAACAGGGAUAUAUAAACCACCAA